CACCAGGCCAAGACACAUGUACGUAUAACUAGACACUGUGCCCCAUAUUGCCAGAGGACUGCAUCUUGCAUCAAGGCUCUAUAACCAGACACUAAAGAUAUAGAGGGUUUACACUAAAAGCAUAUUACAGGAAACGGAAAUCAGAAGGUUAAAGCAUCGAGCCUAGCCAAAUUUAGAGAAAUAUCAACUAAGCUGGUCAAAAAGCUUGGCUAUGCUAGCCUAUAUUUGAAGUUAAGAAACCAGCAAGUACACUAUAUAUUGCCAAGAAUGACAAGCCUUUGUAGCAUCUGGUAAAAUAGCACUCAAUACAGC